AGUUUAACAGGACAAAUAGUUUAAACCUUAAAACAUAACACUGAAAAUGUUAAAAUGACCGUAGUCUUUCUCCA
rnacentral:tRNA from 1 species